rnacentral:rRNA from 1 species
AACGAACGCUGGCGGCAUGCCUAACACAUGCAAGUCGAACGAUUGCCUUCGGGUGAUAGUGGCGCACGGGUGCGUAACGCGUGGGAAUCUGCCCUUAGGUUCGGAAUAACAGCUGGAAACGGCUGCUAAUACCGGAUGAUAUCGCGAGAUCAAAGAUUUAUCGCCUGAGGAUGAGCCCGCGUUGGAUUAGGUAGUUGGUGGGGUAAAGGCCUACCAAGCCGACGAUCCAUAGCUGGUCUGAGAGGAUGAUCAGCCACACUGGGACUGAGACACGGCCCAGACUCCUACGGGAGGCAGCAGUGGGGUAUAUUGGACAAUGGGCGCAAGCCUGAUCCAGCAAUGCCGCGUGAGUGAUGAGGGCCCUAGGGUUGUAAAGCUCUUUUACCCGGGAAGAUAAUGACUGUACCGGGAGAAUAAGCCCCGGCUAACUCCGUG